UCUCGCGGAGGAGCAGUAGCAAGAGUUCGGAGCGAAGGAUACACCGGGUCGGGAUUCUCGCGCUGGGGGUGCAGGUCACCACCCCUGGACGCUCGUCUUCCUCGUGGACGCUGCGGAGUGCUGGACCACCUUCGCCACCUACCCCUUCCGCUCCCUCUACGAUGCCUCUCCUUCUCCGCUCCCGUUCGACGGCGCUCCGGUCGUCGGUCGGUCGGUCGGUCGGUGGGUC